AGCGUACACGGUGGAUGCCCUGGCAGUCAGAGGCGAUGAAGGACGUGCUAAUCUGCGAUAAGCGUCGGUAAGGUGAUAUGAACCGUUAUAACCGGCGAUUUCCGAAUGGGGAAACCCAGUGUGUUUCGACACACUAUCAUUAACUGAAUCCAUAGGUUAAUGAGGCGAACCGGGGGAACUGAAACAUCUAAGUACCCCGAGGAAAAGAAAUCAACCGAGAUUCCCCCAGUAGCGGCGAGCGAACGGGGAGGAGCCCAGAGCCUGAAUCAGUGUGUGUGUUAGUGGAAGCGUCUGGAAAGGCGCGCGAUACAGGGUGACAGCCCCGUACACAAAAAUGCACAUAUUGUGAGCUCGAUGAGUAGGGCGGGACACGUGGUAUCCUGUCUGAAUAUGGGGGGACCAUCCUCCAAGGCUAAAUACUCCUGACUGACCGAUAGUGAACCAGUACCGUGAGGGAAAGGCGAAAAGAACCCCGGCGAGGGGAGUGAAAAAGAACCUGAAACCGUGUACGUACAAGCAGUGGGAGCACGCUUAGGCGUGUGACUGCGUACCUUUUGUAUAAUGGGUCAGCGACUUAUAUUCUGUAGCAAGGUUAACCGAAUAGGGGAGCCGAAGGGAAACCGAGUCUUAACUGGGCGUUAAGUUGCAGGGUAUAGACCCGAAACCCGGUGAUCUAGCCAUGGGCAGGUUGAAGGUUGGGUAACACUAACUGGAGGACCGAACCGACUAAUGUUGAAAAAUUAGCGGAUGACUUGUGGCUGGGGGUGAAAGGCCAAUCAAACCGGGAGAUAGCUGGUUCUCCCCGAAAGCUAUUUAGGUAGCGCCUCGUGAAUUCAUCUCCGGGGGUAGAGCACUGUUUCGGCAAGGGGGUCAUCCCGACUUACCAACCCGAUGCAAACUGCGAAUACCGGAGAAUGUUAUCACGGGAGACACACGGCGGGUGCUAACGUCCGUCGUGAAGAGGGAAACAACCCAGACCGCCAGCUAAGGUCCCAAAGUCAUGGUUAAGUGGGAAACGAUGUGGGAAGGCCCAGACAGCCAGGAUGUUGGCUUAGAAGCAGCCAUCAUUUAAAGAAAGCGUAAUAGCUCACUGGUCGAGUCGGCCUGCGCGGAAGAUGUAACGGGGCUAAACCAUGCACCGAAGCUGCGGCAGCGACGCUUAUGCGUUGUUGGGUAGGGGAGCGUUCUGUAAGCCUGUGAAGGUGUGCUGUGAGGCAUGCUGGAGGUAUCAGAAGUGCGAAUGCUGACAUAAGUAACGAUAAAGCGGGUGAAAAGCCCGCUCGCCGGAAGACCAAGGGUUCCUGUCCAACGUUAAUCGGGGCAGGGUGAGUCGACCCCUAAGGCGAGGCCGAAAGGCGUAGUCGAUGGGAAACAGGUUAAUAUUCCUGUACUUGGUGUUACUGCGAAGGGGGGACGGAGAAGGCUAUGUUGGCCGGGCGACGGUUGUCCCGGUUUAAGCGUGUAGGCUGGUUUUCCAGGCAAAUCCGGAAAAUCAAGGCUGAGGCGUGAUGACGAGGCACUACGGUGCUGAAGCAACAAAUGCCCUGCUUCCAGGAAAAGCCUCUAAGCAUCAGGUAACAUCAAAUCGUACCCCAAACCGACACAGGUGGUCAGGUAGAGAAUACCAAGGCGCUUGAGAGAACUCGGGUGAAGGAACUAGGCAAAAUGGUGCCGUAACUUCGGGAGAAGGCACGCUGAUAUGUAGGUGAAGCGACUUGCUCGUGGAGCUGAAAUCAGUCGAAGAUACCAGCUGGCUGCAACUGUUUAUUAAAAACACAGCACUGUGCAAACACGAAAGUGGACGUAUACGGUGUGACGCCUGCCCGGUGCCGGAAGGUUAAUUGAUGGGGUCAGCGCAAGCGAAGCUCUUGAUCGAAGCCCCGGUAAACGGCGGCCGUAACUAUAACGGUCCUAAGGUAGCGAAAUUCCUUGUCGGGUAAGUUCCGACCUGCACGAAUGGCGUAAUGAUGGCCAGGCUGUCUCCACCCGAGACUCAGUGAAAUUGAACUCGCUGUGAAGAUGCAGUGUACCCGCGGCAAGACGGAAAGACCCCGUGAACCUUUACUAUAGCUUGACACUGAACAUUGAGCCUUGAUGUGUAGGAUAGGUGGGAGGCUUAGAAGUGUGGACGCCAGUCUGCAUGGAGCCGACCUUGAAAUACCACCCUUUAAUGUUUGAUGUUCUAACGUUGACCCGUAAUCCGGGUUGCGGACAGUGUCUGGUGGGUAGUUUGACUGGGGCGGUCUCCUCCUAAAGAGUAACGGAGGAGCACGAAGGUUGGCUAAUCCUGGUCGGACAUCAGGAGGUUAGUGCAAUGGCAUAAGCCAGCUUGACUGCGAGCGUGACGGCGCGAGCAGGUGCGAAAGCAGGUCAUAGUGAUCCGGUGGUUCUGAAUGGAAGGGCCAUCGCUCAACGGAUAAAAGGUACUCCGGGGAUAACAGGCUGAUACCGCCCAAGAGUUCAUAUCGACGGCGGUGUUUGGCACCUCGAUGUCGGCUCAUCACAUCCUGGGGCUGAAGUAGGUCCCAAGGGUAUGGCUGUUCGCCAUUUAAAGUGGUACGCGAGCUGGGUUUAGAACGUCGUGAGACAGUUCGGUCCCUAUCUGCCGUGGGCGCUGGAGAACUGAGGGGGGCUGCUCCUAGUACGAGAGGACCGGAGUGGACGCAUCACUGGUGUUCGGGUUGUCAUGCCAAUGGCACUGCCCGGUAGCUAAAUGCGGAAGAGAUAAGUGCUGAAAGCAUCUAAGCACGAAACUUGCCCCGAGAUGAGUUCUCCCUGACUCCUUGA
rnacentral:rRNA from 1 species